rnacentral:rRNA from 1 species
AACGAACGCUGGCGGCAUGCCUAACACAUGCAAGUCGAACGAGACCUUCGGGUCUAGUGGCGCACGGGUGCGUAACGCGUGGGAACCUGCCCUUAGGUUCGGAAUAACUCCCCGAAAGGGGUGCUAAUACCGGAUAAUGUCUUCGGACCAAAGAUUUAUCGCCUUUGGAUGGGCCCGCGUUGGAUUUGCUAGUUGGUAGGGUAAAAGCCUACCAAGGUGACGAUCCAUAGCUGGUCUGAGAGGAUGAUCAGCCACACUGGGACUGAGACACGGCCCAGACUCCUACGGGAGGCAGCAGUGGGGAAUAUUGGACAAUGGGCGAAAGCCUGAUCCAGCAAUGCCGCGUGAGUGAUGAAGGCCUUAGGGUUGUAAAGCUCUUUUACCCGGGAUGAUAAUGACAGUACCGGGAGAAUAAGCUCCGGCUAACUCCGUG